GUUGGUGAUGGCCUCUGACAUUCUUUAGGGGCUGGCUUUCCAACUAGACCUUUUUUCCUUGCAAGUUGUCCUUGAGUAGCUGACCUUUUUAAGUGGUGACUAAGUGAACCUGGUUUCAGGAACACAGCCAUGAUGCUCCGCCUCACCACAGGGCCAAGCAAGCAGGGGCCGGAACCUCUGAAACUGAGCCAAAAUAGACCUUCCUCCUUAUAAAUGGGUUUUCUUAAGUACUUUGUCACAGCAAUGGAAUUUGAGUAGCACAGAGACUUGGCACCCAGAAUAGGGUCAUUGCUUGACCAUCCCUGAAUGUGGUUCAUAAGACUUUGUAAUUGGUUUGGGGGCGAAAUUUCCAAACAUUUAGAGAUAAAGCCUAGAGAAAGCUUGGAGUGCUGUAAACAGAGCUAGUAGGCAAUUCUGACUGGAGAUUAGCAGAUAGUAAAGACUGCUCAUGAGGUGUCAGAAGGGAAGGAGGACUCCACUGGGAAUUGGAGUACAGAACAUUCAGGCCACAUUCCGGCAAAGAACUUGCCUAUAUUUUGUCCAUGCCCUGAGACUUUGUGUGAGUCUGAGUUUAAAGGUGAAGGUGAUGGACUGGUUUAUCUGGUGGAGAACAUUUCAAGGCAGCACAGUGUCCAGGCUGCAGCAUGGACAUUGAUGGACUGCUUUUAGCCAUAUUUAAAGUGAGAAUCUAGAGCAAAAAACAGUGAGAAGUUUUGAAAACCUUGAAGUUUGACUAGAAAGGGGACACAUAUAGAGUUGUGGC
rnacentral:lncRNA from 1 species